CGCUCAGGAGGCAGAGGCGGGAGGAUCUCAAAGUUCGAGGCCAGUAUAGACGACACAAGCACAGUCCAGAUUUAAAACCGAAAACAAAAAACAAAACAAAAGAACAACAACUCUGUCUCAAAAGACAAACGAGCAAACAAAGAGAGUCUCAGGAUUCCACCAUGUUCUCUGCUCUGAAGCACGACACAGAACACGCGGCUCGUAUACAGCUGUAAGUAAGAACUGGUCCCCAAACACCCGAGCAAGGAUGGUAAACUAUAAACAAACGGCAGUUUCUCGGUUCCCCGUGACUCAGAAUCCAAACGGCCAGAGACCAGUUUCUCAAUGAGAUGAGUGACUAAGGCCGACGCACUGAGGGCCAACAUGGGACACAAAGGCUUGCAGACAACGAGACUCAGAGGACCAGGAAGAACACGGCAGCCUUGAGUUCUCAGCAGCAUGGCAGAGGAGACUGCUAACAAGGCAUCGAGACAGACAGAGAAAAGGAAGUCGGUCCUCACUUGGCUGAUCUGGAAGACGAAUGCCGGAGGGAGAGUCCAGGACCAUCAUGGCAGGGAGGAGCACGGCAGCAGGAAUGCAGACAUGGCGCUGGAGUAGUAGCGAAGAGCCUACAUCCUGAUGGCUCCCAUGCUCUUCCGGAGGUCCUGAGUUCAAGUCCCAGAAACCACAUGGUGGCUCACAACCAUCUGUAAUGGGAUCCGAUGCCCUCUUCUGGUGUGGCUGAAGACAGCCAUGUGUGCUCAUAUACAUAAAAUAAAUAAUUCUAAAUAAAUAAAUAAAUAAUUCUAAAUAAAUAAGGGGAUGAGCAUGUCUCAUCCUUCGAUCUU